rnacentral:rRNA from 1 species
CGCGGGAGCAAUCCUGGCGACGAGCGGCGAACGGGUGAGUAAUGCUUCGGAAUCUGCCCAGUAGUGGGGAAUAACCAACCGAAAGGUUGGCUAAUGCCGCAUACGACCUAUGGGUGAAAGCGGGGGAUCGCAAGACCUCGCGCUAUUGGAUGAGCCGAAGUCGGAUUAGCUAGUUGGUAGGGUAACGGCCUACCAAGGCGACAAUCCGUAGCUGGUCUGAGAGGACGACCAGCCACACUGGGACUGAGACACGGCCCAGACUCCUACGGGAGGCAGCAGUGGGGAAUAUUGGACAAUGGGGGCAACCCUGAUCCAGCGACGCCGCGUGUGUGAAGAAGGCCUGCGGG